rnacentral:misc_RNA from 1 species
AGAGCAAAAAUUUUUUAGAGAUCAAAUCAAGAAAAUUAAAUGCUACCUCGAUGUUGAAUUAAGAAAAGAUCUAAUAGAAAAAAAUUAGAUUAUAGGUCUGUUCGACCUUUAAAUUCUUACAUGAUUUGAGUUAAGACCGGUGUAAGCCAGGUUGGUUUCUAUCUUCAUAAUAGAAGUUUUUAUAGUACGAAAGGACCUAAAAACUUAAUUUUAUUAAUUAAUUAGCUUAUAUAAAGCAAGUAUUUUGAAAAUACUAGAAAGAUUUAAAAAUUUAUUAAUUUUAUGU